UGGGGUUUAGCUCAGUUGGUAGAGUGCUUGUCUUGCAUACACAAGAACCCUGGGUUCUAAUCCCCAGCACUAA
rnacentral:tRNA from 1 species